GGCGAACGGGUGAGUAAUGCAUCGGAACGUGCCCAGUAGUGGGGGAUAACCAGUCGAAAGACUGGCUAAUACCGCAUACGACCUAAGGGUGAAAGCGGGGGACCGUAAGGCCUCGCGCUAUUGGAGCGGCCGAUGUCUGAUUAGCUAGUUGGCGGGGUAAGAGCCCACCAAGGCGACGAUCAGUAGCUGGUCUGAGAGGACGACCAGCCACACUGGGACUGAGACACGGCCCAG
rnacentral:rRNA from 1 species